rnacentral:rRNA from 1 species
UACGAAGGGGGCAAGCGUUACUCGGAAUUACUGGGCGUAAAGCGUGCGUAGGCGGUUUGUUAAGUCUGCUGUGAAAGCCCCGGGCUCAACCUGGGAAUGGCAGUGGAUACUGGCAAGCUAGAGUGCGGUAGAGGGUAGUGGAAUUCCCGGUGUAGCGGUGAAAUGCGUAGAGAUCGGGAGGAACACCAGUGGCGAAGGCGGCUACCUGGACCAGCACUGACACUGAGGCACGAAAGCGUGGGGAGCAAACAGG